CGCUGCUAUCUGCAGUCGAGCGACUGAUUAGAAGCUUGCUUCUAUGACGUUAGCGGCGGACGGGUGAGUAACACGUGGGCAACCUGCCUGUAAGACUGGGAUAACUUCGGGAAACCGAAGCUAAUACCGGAUAGGAUCUUCUCCUUCAUGGGAGAUGAUUGAAAGAUGGUUUCGGCUAUCACUUACAGAUGGGCCCGCGGUGCAUUAGCUAGUUGGUGAGGUAACGGCUCACCAAGGCAACGAUGCAUAGCCGACCUGAGAGGGUGAUCGGCCACACUGGGACUGAGACACGGCCCAGACUCCUACGGGAGGCAGCAGUAGGGAAUCUUCCGCAAUGGACGAAAGUCUGACGGAGCAACGCCGCGUGAGUGAUGAAGGCUUUCGGGUCGUAAAACUCUGUUGUUAGGGAAGAACAAGUACGAGAGUAACUGCUCGUACCUUGACGGUACCUAACCAGAAAGCCACGGCUAACUACGUGCCAGCAGCCGCGGUAAUACGUAGGUGGCAAGCGUUAUCCGGAAUUAUUGGGCGUAAAGCGCGCGCAGGCGGUUUCUUAAGUCUGAUGUGAAAGCCCACGGCUCAACCGUGGAGGGUCAUUGGAAACUGGGGAACUUGAGUGCAGAAGAGAAAAGCGGAAUUCCACGUGUAGCGGUGAAAUGCGUAGAGAUGUGGAGGAACACCAGUGGCGAAGGCGGCUUUUUGGUCUGUAACUGACGCUGAGGCGCGAAAGCGUGGGGAGCAANCAGGGAUUAGAUACCCUGGUAAGUCCACCCCGUAACCGAUGAGUGCUAAGUGUUAGAGGGGUUUCCCGCCCUUUAGUGCUGCAGCUAACGCAUUAAGCACUCCGCCUG
rnacentral:rRNA from 1 species